rnacentral:rRNA from 1 species
AGAACGAACGCUGGCGGCAGGCUUAACACAUGCAAGUCGAACGGUUGUAGCAAUACAGCAGUGGCAGACGGGUGAGUAACACGUGGGAACCUUCCUAGGGGUACGGAACAACUCAGGGAAACUUGAGCUAAUACCGUAUACGUCCGUGAGGAGAAAGAUUUAUCGCCCCUAGACGGGCCCGCGUAGGAUUAGGUAGUUGGUGGAGUAGGCUACACGACG